GCCCCCAUAGUUCAACGGAUAGAACAUUCCCGUCCUAAGGGAAGAAUGUGUGUUCAAUUCAUACUGGGGGCA
rnacentral:tRNA from 1 species